rnacentral:rRNA from 1 species
GGGCUCACACAAGCGGUGGAGCAUGUGGCUUAAUUCGAAGCAACGCGAAGAACCUUAUCCAGGGUUUGACAUGUAUGGAUUAACUCCGUGAAAGCGGAGCCACACCUUCGGGUGGAACAUACACAGGUGCUGCAUGGCUGUCGUCAGCUCGUGCUGUGAAGUGUCGGGUUAAGUCCCUCAACGAGCGCAACCCUUGUCGUUAGUUGCUAACAGGUAAUGCUGAGGACUCUAACGAGACUGCCGGUGUCAAACCGGAGGAAGGUGGGGAUGACGUCAAGUCCUCAUGGCCUUUAUGCCCUGGGCUGCACACGUGCUACAAUGGUAGGUACAGAACGAAGCAAAACCGCGAGGUGGAGCAAAUCGCCAAAGCCUGCCCCAGUUCGGAUUGGAGGCUGCAACUCGCCUCCAUGAAGUCGGAAUCGCUAGUAAUCG